UUUGUUUAUCUUAACCAUAAUCAACAAUUUCCCCCCUUCAAACCAAACAAACACCAUAUCAUCAAUUAUACAAACUGUCGAACAUUAUUUUAACAUAUUUUCUGAGAUCAAUUCAUCAAUCAAAUCAGAUUCAAAACCCCCAACUUACACACACUCACACACUCACUCCUACACCAAAAUUCUCGUCAAUGGCAAAUAAGGGGUUGUUUCGUUUGAAGAUUAAGGAGAACAUUUGAACAAGUGCCCUCAUGAGUUAUAACUGAAAGUAUAAAUGCUCAAGUCAAUUUAUCAAGUCAGCUUCUAUGCAACGGACUGUAGCAGCCUCCGGCAUAAUCUCUAGGGAACCUUGAGGUUUCAAGCGAUAGUCAAGUAAUCCGGCCAAGUGUUUUCUUUGAAUUUUGUAGUCUAUGUUCAUGCAGAUUCUAUAAUCAUCUUUAUAGGAGCUCUAAUACUGAUUACUCUUUUGCGGGAUGUAAUGGAACUAUCCGCUCCUAGAUAAGAAAUAUGGUCAGAGUAUAGAUUAUAUCACUCUUGACAACGGAGGGAUAUCGUAGUGGUAAGGAUACCCUCCACCUCAAACAAUAAGGUUGGCGGUUCGUGUCACCAAGGAAGAAUAAGUGGAAAGGCCACUCUUGGUUAGGACGUUAUGGAAGGUGGUGUCUCCAUAUAACAAACAUUUCUUUUACAGAUUUUAUUACUAUUCUAGCGCCCUCCUUGCUUGCGAAUUACUAACCUUUUUUGUGGUGAUCAUGUUAGAGGACGACUCUCUGUUCCUCAUGCAAUAUGCAGUUAGAUUGUCUCUUCUUAUGGGCUUGCCCUCCCUAUUGGUUGUUAUUGCAGAAUAUGUUGAACAGAAAAAGCUAUUAGGGGGUUUAUUGCUUUUACUCCCCCCCCUCCCCCCCCGCCCCUCAAAUUUAGUCCAGAAAACCUAGACAGCACAUUUGGUGCUGAUGAGGAUAUUGACAGCUUGAGGAACAAAUUGGUCGAGUUGGAAUGGUUGCUUACACAGUCUAAUAUCCCUUAUCCUGUAUAUUUUGCAUGCGAGGAUGACAAUAUCAAUGCUGGAUUAGCUGAAGUUAAGAGAAAUGAUGCUAGUGGUCAACCUGCAACAGCUACUACAGGCGGGUCAGCAGACAGGUGGAUUUGAUCCCUAGAAGCUCUACCAGCCGCCCUUGAUAGCGCUCCAGUUGUUCCGUAGCCUCACUUCCGCGGUACUAUUUUGUGUAUGUAUAUUCGGGCACGGCAGUACCCAGCCCUUUCUAUGUAUAAGUGUACUAUGUCUAGAGGCUCGUAGACAUAUAUGCCCAGUCAGUCAAGUACAAUUAGAUAUAUGGUGUUUUGGCAUUUUAAUGUUGUUGUAUAAAGUGAUAACGAAGUUUACUAGUCUAUGUUCAUAAUUGA